GUUAAAAAACAAAGCAAGCUACUAGUACAACUACUAGUUUUUAAUAAAGACAACAUAAGCUUGGAGCACUGACGAAAGCUGCCUCAGUCAUGAAAUACUGCUAUCAAAAGAUAGGAAAACGCACAGCUCUAACAUGACAUGAUUUGUAAAACACAAAGCUCUCCAUCUACCCACUGCUUUCAGAGCCUAUGCUCAGAGAUGUCUCACCUUGUGGCUAUGUCUUCCAAGCUACUGGAGGAAGAAGGAUUGGAAGGGGAUCCUGAGCUGGCAUUUGACCAACUCAUCUUUCGUCCCCAUCACUUCUGCUCUGGAGGAAGGGACAUGUACAGACAAAGACCUGCAGUAGUUUUACCCGUCUGUAUCUGUGUUGAAAACCAGCUGCCCGGUGAAAACUAGUCCAGAUUUACCUUUAUCUAUUCCAAACGGAGUGACAAUGUAAGCAGAGGAGCAGUGCAGUUCUGGGACUGUUAUUUCAUAGUAUACAACCAGGGUUGCUAUUUCAUAGGAUGUAACCGUGAGUGCACUGGAUGGAAAUUAAGACCCAUUUAGCCAAGUGCAUGAUCCUCAAAGGCAACUUUGAGCAUUCUCCUAGUUUUGUAAAUACAUACAAAUACGUUCACCAUGGUGCCAGAAAAAAGCUAGCUUUUGAUUCCAAGUCAGAAAGAAAAGGAUUUUCUCCUUUUAUUUUAUGUCAUACGAGUUCAGUAAUUUGGACACUUUUUUUGGUAGGAAAAAAUGUAUUAAAAGUUAUAUGAUAACCAGCUAAGGUAAAUCUUUGAGAUUAAUUAAUUCAAGUUUCUUGGGCCCGCGUAAGCUUGCCAAGAACUUUUCAAUCCUACUUGGCUCUUCAGCAAAGAUCAGCAGCCUUUCAGUAGCACUGCUAUUUAACCUGAGACCUUAGAUGGGGUAGGAGUCUUUUAGGAUGUACAGAACACUGUGAUGAAUUUCAUUUUGUGAUAAUAAAUAAACUCAAUAUCACAUAUUAUUCCAGCAAACACACCUGAACACCUUACAGGCUUCUGUUCUCAGUGGGCUGAAUUUUCUGAACAGUCCAGGUGCAAUUUGAAGCCUCUAUAGGUAGUGCCACCUUAAGUGGUACAUGUGCUGGUAACCAGGCAUACAAAUGCAAAGACAAAAAAUAGACACAGCCUGUACAGAUAAUUGCAGAAGUGAAUUUCUGCUUUGCUUUAGAUAUUGUCACCCAACGGUAUAUUAGGGGAUUUUAUUGCCAUUAGAAUGUCCCCAUUUAACUAUGCUUUGAUGAAUAUAUGUAUUACUGGUUAGAUUUUUUUAUUGUUGUUUGGUUGAUUGGGUUUUUUUGCAUUUGUAUUUUCUUGUGCGCUAUUCGUAUGCUAUAUAUAAUUACUGCUGUACAAAUGGAGCAGAUUUGCUUUUACUUUGUUUUGUCACUUCUGUAACUAGGACAAUAAAUAGCACCAGUAGAUUGUUAUUCCAUCAAUGGCACAUUGGCUUAGCAGGUGGGCUUCCCACCUAUUUGUUCCCAGCAGUGUAUAUGUGCAGGUUUAUUCCUACCUACAAAUGCACUGGAAAGAGGAAUAAAUACAUGAUAUCACCACAUUUUCAGUAUGUUCCUGACAAGUGAGUUAGGGCUGAAGAUGCCAUACUUGUGUCUGCUACCUCCCAGUAGAAGAAGAGUGCCACAUCUGCAGCUAGGAGUGUGUAGGGGGCCAUGUUUAAACAGCUCAAUCCUGCAAAUCCUGAAGGCCCAACCCAACUCUCAGUGGUUCUAUCAAGGUUCCGUCAGACAUAGAGCCAGAUGAAAAAUUCCCCUGUGCUCCUGCAUCCAUCCUCAUGUGAAAAAAUGGAAUCGUGUGUGCCAGGCCAGACCUUGACUCGGCUCUGCAAAUUUCAUACCGGAUUUGUGUCCCAUAAGAACAAGCAUUAGGGUUGCCAGUUUGAAAUAUGACAAAACCCAGCCGCCUCAGACAAAUGGCUGCUACCCACGCUCAGCUUCAUCCGCACAUGUGCGGUGCUUAGGAUAACAACUGCCAAGUCUAUAGUAAAAGAGGCCAGGCAGGAAGCCAGCCACAUGGCAACUCUAAAUGAUAUUAAUAAGACUUUAUAAAAAGUUAAAAGCACAAUGUAGCUUUUCAAAGUGUUUCUUAGAGAUCUCUACAUAUGUAUAGGUGUUUCAUGUCUAUGAGAUAGAGGCUUGGGGUAAAUUUAAUGCUGUAUGCUUUUCUGGCUUAGAAUAUAUAUUUUUUUUCUUUCUCUGAAAGCUGUUGAUAUAGACUGGGACUCAUUAAAAACACCUUGUGUUUUCUUUUUAGAACUCUUGACUUUAUGUCAUUUGCUGGAUCAUUAGAACGUGAUGUAGCAUCAGCAACUGUUCCAGAGGAGCCCUGGCUUGGAAGAAACAGAAUAUUCUUGUCUCAGUCAGUGGCAAUAAAAGGGUGCUUAGCACCUUUCAGGAGAUGCUGAGUGUCUCUCCCAGGCCCAAGUCCAGAGAUAGCAUUCCCAAAGGACAGAUACAAGGAUAUUAAAAAGGACUUUGAUCAAAGAAAUAUUGCUUCUUUCCUCCUUUCACUAAGCAGAUGUGCAACGUGUCUUGGGAAAGAAAUAGAAAAAUUCCUGAGUGAUUUAUUUGAUGAACCUACUUUUAACCCAGGUUAUUGCAUGCCUGAUAUGGUGAUGCUGGUUAUUAGUUUUCAGUUGAAAAUGACCAGAUAGAGGACAUAUUCACUUCAUCAAUAUAAUACAUUUAUUGGUUGUCAAGAGAGUCACAUCACACAGAUAUGUAAAUCUGUCACUUUGUCUUAAAAGUGUAUUUCUCUAUUACAAUGUUGCUUGAUGUAUGUUUUAAGGCAGUAAGGCCUUUUAAAUAUUAAAAAAAAAGACAAGGGGGAAGAUUUGUCUUUUCAAUCACAGGAUUUAAGACAUUAAAAGCAGAUGCAUCAUUUAUAAAAGUAGGAUUUUAUCAAAUGCCAUUGUAAAUGAAAGAAUCAUAUCUACCAUAUGUAGAUAUGUGAAUUAAAGAAACCUUCUUUCCCAGGAAAAUUAACAAACUGUUUUGCUAGCAUUAAGAUGGAUUAGUCUUUGAAGCCAGUUACCAGUUGACCACAAAUCUCAAUUUGCCAUGUCAAAACUAAAAUAUAAUAGACCCUUUGUUUACAUUUUAUACAAAAUAAAUGCUUUUAUUUCUGUUUAUGUGCCCACGGAAGUAAUCCUACCUUCAAAAAAAUGCACUGAAAAUUGGAACAAAGAAGUUUAGUUGUAGUUUAACUCAUUCUUUACCAUUAAAAGAAAGAAAUGUCAAUAACAAUAAAUAUUAAAAAUAACAAGAAACUCACCAAUCUCUCCUCACAAUCUGCAAAACUGGCUUUCUGAAUUAUGAUAGCAUGGUAUGCUUCAAAACAAAAAAUAGCACCUUGCAUUAUGGGGUGUCGUGGUGCUAAUCAUGGCACUAAAGCUGCAAUGAUGAUGCAUUCCUAGCAACACUCCCUGCUCUUGAUGGAGUAAGACCAGGUUGCCUGGUCUGAAAUACUGAAAUACUGGAGAGUAUUUUUUAAUGUUGUCCAUAUUUUUGUGUAAUGGGAUGGAGCAGUAUGGUGCACCACUUCAGUUGGCAUGAAGUCUGUCAAUGGUUACAGGAAGAUUUGUAUCAGGCUCUUGAGGAAGUACCUUAAGACAAUGGUAUUGCUGUUGCUAGGAAUGAUAUUUAAUGGAAACAAAUAUGAAUUAUUUUGAUAAUGCAAUAAUAAGUGAGUUAUUGCGUAACUACCUUGGUACAAACCCAAAGGAACUGCAGGAUUAAAUAUGAGAAUUGUAUCUGUCGACAAAUUCAGCAUAUACUCCAUAUGUAAAUCUUACACUGAAUUUAAUAGUUCUAUGUUAGCAGUGCCUCUCAAACUGGGUGCUGUAUCAUCAUGAUUAAAACUUGUGGUAAUUUACCCAUUGGGUGUUCUUGCUGAAGAGGGUGUUGCUAGUACAGAGGAGAACAUGAUAAUUAAUUUGUAUGCAAUCAAUUUAAAAUAAACUAAGGUAAGCAUGAGAGGGGGAAUUACAAAGCAUGUCAGAAAGGAAAUAAAAAGAAGGAUGUAGCAAACCACAUAAUUAAUGUAGAGAAUUUUAACCUCAUUUGUUGAGAGGUGAUAGAAACCGGACUGGAAGGGGGAGAUGUGUCAGCCUAGUCUAAGGUGUUCUAACCUAAAAUUUUAAUGUAGUCUGUGACAGAGAUUUGAACCAGAUUAAAAAUGUGGGAUUCUAGCCUCUCCCAGUAAAAUGUGGUGAUAUCUGUUGAUAUUCAGAUCUUUGGUUCCAGUUCAUCUCCAGUGAGUGCUCACCUCAGCCUAAAAAAGAAACCUUCAGUUCAUCAAGUCACACUGAAGAGUGUGUGUCAUAACAGACCACUGCUUUGUAAACCAUGAUUCAUUGCCAUGGAAAAAGAAUGCUAAGACUGAGAAGAUCAAGCAAAGUUGAUCUCAGCCUGAGCAGUUUCACUGUUUCCAAGGUGCUUAGCUGGCUGCCAGGGCUCCCUAUCGCUUCAGUGAACAGAACGUCAACUUUGGGAAGGAGAAGAUGCAAUCAUAAAAUUGAUUUGCCGAUUUUGUAUGCUAGGAGAAGCUGCUGUACAGUGAAAGAUAACUGAUGACUAACGCUUCUUAAGUUCUCCUCAGAAAACUGUAAGACUGUGUAUGAAAGCACAGAGUACACUGAGAUAGGGCUUCCAGGUGGCAUGAAUUUGGAACGGUGAUGCAUUCAGAUGCAUUGAAGUCAACAGUGAAUCUAAACGUAAUGAUGCUGAGGAUGCCAUAGGGCACUGGAGUUCUUCAUGGUGCCUGUGCUUCAUUCAUUGCAAAGAAUAUUAUUUAUUUCCUUUUAGGAUUUAAAAGACCCCACAUCGUUGAGAGUGUUUUUAUGUCUGUUUUCCUGUUCUCCUGGCUUCAGUUGCAAAGAUAGAGUUUUCUGGGCUCAGGGCCCAUUAAAAUGGUCAAGAGGAGUUAUUAAAGACCUUCAAAAUUGAGGUGGAAGAAUGGAAGUGUUUUGGUAUUGUUUGAAAAAAUGUUAACAGAGGUUUCUGCAUUGGAAUAAAAAUAGUUGCUGAUACCCUAUUUUUUUUUUCUCACACAGCUGUACUGCUGUUUUCCAUCCAAAACUACCCAAGGCUCUGGAUGUUUUAGGUACAGCUUUAGGUAUGGGCAGGUUUACCCUGGAUCUUUCCACCCUGAAGAGAUUUCUGAAAAUUCCAGUGCUGUUUGGCUGCAGCAUCCUGGCAGCCGCCACACAAUCUCUCCCCCUUCCCUCUUCUGGGAAUUCAUUUGGUUUGUGCAGUAACCCCACUGCUGGCCCCGGACUGUGCCAUUCCCUGCAGGGCUGCCUGGAUGGAGUGGGAGAUGGGGCUCUGCUGGGACCAGGGAGCAAUUUGGUACUCAUGUGGCACACAGCGAAUUCUGUCCCCCUGGCACCUCUCUCUUUCCACCUUGUCUACCCAGAGCCCACCACCACUGGCGCAUUACCUGCUGCCUUAGUCCUUGGUCUUUUCCCUCCUCCUUCUGCCUCCCAGUGCCCUGGUUUUCCCCUGGCUCCCACACCUAUGUACAUACGUCUGCCUGCACGUACUGUGCAGAGUAGUAGUAGUAGCUUUUAUUACCCUCAGUUCUUUAUUAAUGCCACAUGUGCUGUUGUAAGGUUAAGUUAUUAAGUGAUAUCCAAUAAUUGUCUCUACUCUAAAGUGGACAUUUCAUUUAACUAUACUCAUGCGGAUCUGUUUCAGUGCCAUUUAUCACGACCGCAUUUUAAGAAACAUUUCAAUAGGCCAUUUCUCCUUUUCCUUUCUUUAACGCAAAUAGACCUAAAAGGUCCUGGUCAAAAAUUAAAUACAAUUACCUUUGGAACAGCAUAAGGGAGUGUGAGGUUUGUAUGUGCUUUGGAAGUUAAAUUUAUAUUUUACAGGGCUAUCAUCUUGGCUGCAGAGUUAAUUUUACUGUAUUUGUGCACUUGCUGGAAACGCUUACACGAAGGCAUACAAUGACCUGUUUAGUUUGCAGGAGAAAAUUAUGUCAUUUGCAAGCAAGCUUUCAGCUGUGAUAUUUUAUAAUUGUUUAGAUGAAAACCUGAUAAUCCUCUACUCCUUCACAUAAACUGCAAUCCAUCUUUAAAACUGUGAUAAUUCAUAAAACCUGCAGCUUAAUAAACUAACAAACCCCAGGCCUAUGUUAUUUUAAGGGAAGUCAAUCUUUGAUCAGUCAAGCUGAAAUGGGUCUGAUAAGUGGCGGCCUUCCUCACAGGGAGCAGCACUCCAGUUUGUUAUUGCUAUUUGCUCAUCAUCCUCGAGUGCAAAAUAAGCAGAAGUCUUUCCGAGCUCCUUAUCUCUUUUCACUUUCUUCUCUAGAUCUCUGUCGCUUUAAUCCAGCAUGUCUGCUGCUGGUUAACAAGGAAAUCCUGUGUCAAUUAUCGCCAACAACUUCCUGCUGUGAAGCUGUGGGGAAUCAAAGCUUUUGAGAGCCUUUUUCACACCAGAGAGUAGUGCAGGGCCUAAUUAAAUGGCCCUCAUAUCCUGCAGCCUACUGGUGGCCAAAUGAUAGAGAGCUAAUGAACGCUAACCUAAUUUUUGCAGGAAUUGUUUUGAUUCUUCUGGUCAGCGGUGCUUAUUGACCAAACCUGGGGCUGAGUGGGG
ensembl:lncRNA